rnacentral:rRNA from 1 species
UACGUAGGUGGCUAGCGUUGUCCGGAUUUACUGGGCGUAAAGAGCGCGCAGGCGGUCGUUCAAGUCGAGUGUGAAAGCCCCCGGCUCAACUGGGGAGGGUCACUCGAUACUGAUCGACUGGAAGGCAGGAGAGGGAAGCGGAAUUCCCGGUGUAGUGGUGAAAUGCGUAGAUAUCGGGAGGAACACCAGUGGCGAAGGCGGCUUCCUGGCCUGUUCUUGACGCUGAGGCGCGAAAGCUAGGGGAGCAAACGGG